AUUGAACGCUGGCGGCAUGCCUUACACAUGCAAGUCGAACGGCAGCACGGGUGCUUGCACCUGGUGGCGAGUGGCGAACGGGUGAGUAAUACAUCGGAACGUACCUUAUCGUGGGGGAUAACGCAGCGAAAGCUGUGCUAAUACCGCAUACGCCCUGAGGGGGAAAGCAGGGGAUCGCAAGACCUCGCGCGAUUAGAGCGGCCGAUGCCUGAUGAGCGAGUUGGGGGGGUAAAAGCCCACAAAGGCGACGAUCAGUAGCUGGUCUGAGAGGACGAUCAGCCACACUGGGACUGAGACACGGCCCAGACUCCUACGGGAGGCAGCAGUGGGGAAUUUUGGACAAUGGGGGCAACCCUGAUCCAGCAAUGCCGCGUGAGUGAAGAAGGCCUUCGGGUUGUAAAGCUCUUUUGUCAGGGAAGAAACACCGGCUCUAACACAGUCCGGGAAUGACGGUACCUGAAGAAUAAGCACCGGCUAACUACGUGCCAGCCGCCGCAGUAA
rnacentral:rRNA from 1 species